rnacentral:rRNA from 1 species
AUUGAACGCUGGCGGCAUGCCUUACACAUGCAAGUCGAACGGCAGCGCGGGAGCAAUCCUGGCGGCGAGUGGCGAACGGGUGAGUAAUACAUCGGAACGUGUCCUGUAGUGGGGGAUAGCCCGGCGAAAGCCGGAUUAAUACCGCAUACGCUCUACGGAGGAAAGGGGGGGAUCUUAGGACCUCUCGCUACAGGGGCGGCCGAUGGCGGAUUAGCUAGUUGGUGGGGUAAAGGCCUACCAAGGCGACGAUCCGUAGCUGGUCUGAGAGGACGACCAGCCACACUGGGACUGAGACACGGCCCAGACUCCUACGGGAGGCAGCAGUGGGGAAAUUUGGACAAUGGGGGCAACCCUGAUCCAGCAAUGCCGCGUGUGUGAAGAAGGCCUUCGGGUUGUAAAGCACUUUAGUCCGGAAAGAAAUCAUCCUGGUUAAUACCUGGGGUGGAUGACGGUACCGGAAGAAUAAGCACCGGCUAACUACGUGCCAGCAGCCGCGGUAAUACGUAGGGUGCAAGCGUUAAUCGGAAUUAUUGGGCGUAAAGCGUGCGCAGGCGGUUCGCUAAGACAGAUGUGAAUUCCCCGGGCUUAACCUGGGAACUGCAUUUGUGACUGGCGGGCUAGAGUAUGGCAGAGGGGGGUAGAAUUCCACGU